UAUUUUAUGAUUAUAGGUGUUUUGCAUGCACAUAUGCCUGUGCACCACAUGAGAAUCUGUCUGCAAAACAACUACAGGGUCAACAACCUACAUAAAGAUGAGAAGUGCGACUGCCUCCUCUGAUUGCAACACAUGUACCAUUGUCUUAAGGGUCACUGUUCUGUUGCUUCGAGGAUGCAUCGAGACCAAGGAAACUUUUAAAAGGAAGCAUGUGAUCGGGAGCUUGCUUACAGUUUCAGAAGGAGAAGGUAAAGCAAAGACCUGGACCACAGAGGCGAGUGCACAGGUGGAGGAGGCAGGGACAUCAAACAGGACAAGAGCCACAUAGAUGGCACAUGGGGAUGGGCAGCUAAGUGGGAAGUGGAUGCAGCUCACAAGUGCUCCAUCUGGUACCUGCCUGUAUGACUGCCACCUUCCUCAGUGACCCUUCCACACCACGUGCCACCUCACCUCUUAGUCUUCCCAUGUUGUCUUUCUUCACCUACGUAACUCUUCCUCAGGCCAGAGCUUUCCUGCGGUAGGGAUCAGACUUUUCAUGUGCAUAUGAAGCAGUUAAGUGAAUCAUGUGAUAGUUGCAUACUCUGUAGAUCCCCAGUGGGUGUGAAGUCUACAGAUGUCACUUGGAUUAGCAAGAUGCCCACGAAACUUCUCCCAAGCCCAGACCUUGGAGUCACACGAGCUUGCAGUGGUUUGGAUUUUCUUCUAUCAAGGAUCUGCAUCCCUCUCCCUCAGCUGUGCAGAGGACAUUUGCCUGAUUGGUUAUUGGUGGAGACUGGCGUUGAUCAAUGGGAAGCUCACAGAUGUGAUUGGAGCAAAGGCCUCACAUGGCAUUGCUGUCUUGUAGCUGCUGGUCCUCAAGAGUGAAAGUUUCAUGGAGCAGAGCCACACCAGCUUCUGUAGGUUGUAUAGUCCAGGAGCCUGAAGCCUGAAGCUGCCUCAGUGGGUGUGAUAACUCCAUGCCCUUUACCUCCAAGUGUGAGGGUGUUUUGUUACUGACUGAUACACUGAUUUUUUUCCUCCUGGGUUUUCAUUAAUCAUCUGCAUGUAUCUGUUAUCACUCAUAUGAGGAAAGAUUAAAUGGUCUGUUUACUUCUCUAACAGUUUUACUAGGUUUUAUGUUCAAACUGGGCAAAAACCACAGGCAUUUGUCACAUGACAACAAGGAGGCUUUCUGAGAAGUGUACUUCAGGGUGAUUUGUCAUUGUGCAAGCAUCAUGGUGCUCACACAGAUGUAGAUGGAUCUAAGCCAACCAUUGGGUGUGGCUUCAUCUCUUUAUUUAUUUUGAUUUUUGGAAUAGUGGUCCUCUGUGUAGCGUUGCUGUCCUCAAACUCACUCUGUAGACUAGGCUGGCCUCAAACUCCCAGAGCUCUGCCUGCCUCUGCCUCCUAAGUGCUGCGAUCAAAGGCGUGCACCACCACUGCCCGGCACUCACUCACUCAUUUUUGACACGUGACUUUGAGUUCACUAUGCAGCAGAAGACCACCUUGAACUUCUGACCAUCCUACCUCCAGAUCCUGAGCGUUGGCAUUUGGUUUAUGUGCGGCUGGGGAUGGGAUCCAUAGCCCCUGGCAUGCUAGAGAAACAUUUAACCAACUGAGCCACAAGACCAGCCUCUUGCUGUGGCUUCUUGUUGUCUUUAGGAGACAUGGUAAGCAUGAGACAUGAGAGCCUGUGGUCAGCAGGGCACAGUUUUAGAGCAAAUUAUGACAAAAAAUUAAAAUUGUAGCAUGGUGAAUAUAUAAAUAAAACCAUAACCAUUCUUUAUCACUACCAUUAUCAACUAUUAUGGACUGUGCAUAAUUGUAUUCUAUCUAUCUAUCUAUCUAUCUAUCUAUCUAUCUAUCUAUCUAUCUAUCUAUCAUCUAUCCAUCUAUCCAUCUAUCUAUCUUCUAUCUUGUGUGGUGUAUGUCUAUGUGUAUGGAAGCCAGAGGUAAAUGUUUGGUGUCUUCCACUAUCAUUCAUUGCCUUAUUACUAAUUAAUUUUUCUGGGGCGACUGGCUUUCUUGCUGAACUGUAACUCACCACUUUAGUGAGCCUGCCUGUCUCACAGGUCCCCCCCCCCCCCACACACACACAGAGGGUCUCAAACUCAGGAAGCUACUGAGUGCUGGAAUUGUAAGCUGUGUUACGUCACCAAGCUUUUGUGUCUCACAUAUUUUUAAACAAUUUCAGCAGGUUGGCUUGUAUCGGUGUCACUACAGACA
rnacentral:lncRNA from 1 species